ACGUACGCUGGCGGCACGCCUAACACAUGCAAGUCGAACGAAGUAGCAAUACUUAGUGGCAGACGGGUGAGUAACAUGUAGGUAUCUGCCCUUUGGCCUGGAAUAACACGAGGAAACUUGUGCUAAUACCGGAUAAGUCUUUACGGAGAAAGCUUUAUGCACCAUUGGAUGAGCCUGCACUUGAUUAGUUUGUUGGUGGGGUAAUGGCCUACCAAGACUGUGAUCAAUAGCUGAUUUGAGAGGAUGAUCAGCCACAUUGGGACUGAGACACGGCCCAAACUCCUACGGGAGGCAGCAGUGGGGAAUCUUGCACAAUGGAGGAAACUCUGAUGCAGCGAUGCCGCGUGAGUGAAGAAGGCCUUUGGGUUGUAAAGCUCUUUCGUCGGGGAAGAAAAUGACUGUACCCGAAUAAGAAGGUCCGGCUAACUUCGUGCCAGCAGCCGCGGUAAUACGAAGGGACCUAGCGUAGUUCGGAAUUACUGGGCUUAAAGAGUUCGUAGGUGGUUGAAAAAGUUAGUGGUGAAAUCCCAGAGCUUAACUCUGGAACUGCCAUUAAAACUUUUCAGCUAGAGUAUGAUAGAGGAAAGCAGAAUUUCUAGUGUAGAGGUGAAAUUCGUAGAUAUUAGAAAGAAUACCAAUUGCGAAGGCAGCUUUCUGGAUCAUUACUGACACUGA
rnacentral:rRNA from 2 species